UACGAAGGGGGCUAGCGUUGUUCGGAAUUACUGGGCGUAAAGCGCACGUAGGCGGAUAUUUAAGUCAGGGGGGAAAUCCCGGGGCUCAACCCCGGAACUGCCUUUGAUACUGAGAAGCUUGAGUCCGGGAGAGGUGAGUGGAACUGCGAGUGUAGAGGUGAAAUUCGUAGAUAUUCGCAAGAACACCAGUGGCGAAGGCGGCUCACUGGCCCGGUACUGACGCUGAGGUGCGAAAGCGUGGGGAGCAAACAGG
rnacentral:rRNA from 1 species